CCGAGGGAGGCCUUAAACCCGAGGUUGGCCUUAAACCCGAGGUUGGCCUUAAACCCGGGGGAGGCCUUAAACCCGAGGUUGGCCUUAAACCCGAGGGAGGCCUUAAACCCGAGGUUGGCCUUAAACCCGAGGUUGGCCUUAAACCCGGGGGAGGCCUUAAACCCGAGGUUGGCCUUAAACCCGAGGGAGGCCUUAAACCCGAGGGAGGCCUCCUUCUGAGAUUUCCUCUUUCCAGUUCACACUGAGGAGUAC